CCUACGGGUGGCAGCAGUGGGGAAUAUUGCACAAUGGGGGAAACCCUGAUGCAGCGAAGCCGCGUGAAGGAUGAAGUAUUUCGGUAUGUAAACUUCUAUCAGCAGGGAAGAAAAUGACGGUACCUGACUAAGAAGCCCCGUCUAACUACGUGCCAGAAGCCGCGGUACUACGUAGGGGGCAGGCGUUAUCCGGAUUUACUGGGUGUAAAGGGAGCGUAGACGGUAUGGCAAGUCUGAUGUGAAAACCCGGGGCUCAACCCCGGGACUGCCUUUGAAACUGCCGAACUAGAGUGUCGGAGAGGUAAGUGGAAUGCCUAGUGUAGCGGUGAAAUGCGUAGAUAUUAGGCGGAACACCAGUUGCGAAGGCGGCUUGCUGGGCGAUGACUGACGUUGAGGCUCGAAAGCGUGGGGAGCAAACAGGAUUAGAUACCCCAGUAGUC
rnacentral:rRNA from 1 species